rnacentral:rRNA from 1 species
GAUGAACGCUAGCGGCAGGCCUAACACAUGCAAGUCGAGGGGCAGCACAGAAACAGCAAUGUUUUGGUGGCGACCGGCGGACGGGUGCGUAACGCGUAUGCAACCUACCUUACACAGGGGGAUAACGGAUGGAAACGUCCCCUAACACCCCAUAACACCGGACUCGGCAUCGGCUUCGGUUGAAAUCUCCCGUGGUGUAGGAUGGGCAUGCGUUGUAUUAGAUAGUUGGUGAGGUAACGGCUCACCAAGUCGACGAUACAUAGGGGGACUGAGAGGUUAGCCCCCCACACUGGUACUGAGACACGGACCAGACUCCUACGGGAGGCAGCAGUGAGGAAUAUUGGUCAAUGGGGGCAACCCUGAACCAGCCAUGCCGCGUGCAGGAAGACGGCUCUAUGAGUUGUAAACUGCUUUUACACAGGGAUAAAUCGGGGUACGCGUACCCCGUUGAAGGUACUGUGGGAAUAAGGAUCGGCUAACUCCGUGCCAGCCGCCGCCGUAA